ensembl:lncRNA
AUGGACACAGUCAAAGUUGCAAUUGAUUUGAAAGGAAAUGGACAUUUUUGAGGAGAUGCCCGAGAGGGGAAAGACUUCAUUUUAAUCCCGUAUUCGCUUCACUGGUCUGGAACCUGAGCAGCUCUAUCGUCUAAGGUAAGAGGAAUUAAAUGUUUUUUUUAAUGUUUAAUCUUAGCAUUCAAUGGAGAUAAUACCUAUGAAAGAGAAAGUGUGCAUAGGCUACUCAAAUCAUGCAUGAUUAACGCGCACACUCGCAGUGUGGAUUCAAUGAGGCCCAUAUUUAAAUAUAUCGUUAUAUGUAGGACAAAAAUAUUAAAUUACAUAACAAGUCAGCAUCACACAGAGAGCAACCUAAUUGGCACGAUAAGAUUGAAAAUAAAUUGAAUUGUGGAAACUUACGGACUCAAGGCGGCCGUCAGCUUCAGGCUGUGGUGACGGUUCAGGUAAAGAGGCAUCAGGUGGGACAGCCGUAGUGCUGGCCGCUGCAGGAGUGCUACAGCUGGCAAACACCGAAACACCAAAUGUUUCCUGUCCCAAAGACCGAGAAGGCGUCGUACUCCAUCCGCUUGGUGGGCAUCCAGUCCUCAAAUACUGAAGGUGCGUCCGUUUAAUGUGGCGAAAGAAAGAGUUAAAAACUCUAAAGUCCUGUUCACAUCCAUCAAUACCACAGUAAACCCAAAAAUCCGGGCUGCGACUGUGACUUUUAUUAAUGUGGCUAAGGAGUACUUUAAGACUUAAAGCAACAAAGACGAAACAUAUCAUACACCUCCACGCCGCCAUGAUGCACCGUUGUUGUCGCGGGCUAAUGAUCCAGAGGUGGAUGGGGAGGGGGGCACUCAUGAAAUAAUUUGUUAUUAUUUUAACAAUACAUUCCUCUAAUUAUAAAUGCGACUUAAUUAAUUUUACGAUGGUAAGUUUUUAAAAAAUAAUAUUUUGCUAACAUGUUCAUGUUUACGUCCGAUCAUUUCUGCGCAUCCUCAGUUCAUGUCCUCCAACGGUCCCACCUCAAUGACGUCAGUGUUCGCGGUUCACCGCUUGAGUAACUGAAAGAUUUGGGUGCGUUACAUUUGACGAAGAAGUGCAAGAAGAGCGGCUCAAUGUCAGUAAACUUUAUUGAAUUAGUAAAUAUUACUAUGUCGGUAUAUGCUUAGCAAGCUAGCUAAUUGUUAGCUAAUGUGCACUUUUACACGCUAGCCGUUAGCUAACGAACUCUGUUUGCCUAUGGGUUUUCCCGGGUAGUUCUACGAUACCGCCUGUUAAUGCUUCAGGGAGCUGAUGAAUCUAAGAUGGAUACUUUUGACGAUGCCACUCUAUCGGUGUUGGAGGCUGCCAGUGUUGAUGAGGAGGCUUUGAAAGGCCUUAGCCGGGAUGACCUGAGGGAUCUUUUUCCUGGCCCAGAGAAUUUCCUCAAAAGAAAGAAACUUUGGAAUUUCAUCAGUGAAAAUUGUGAAAAUACCACGGACCAAGAUGCCAACAAUUGUGCCAUGCCACCAUGCCAGCCUCAAACCUCAACCCCCAUAUCUGCUGAGAAAAAAAUGAAAAUGCCAGACCCUCCAGAGUAUGUGGUGUACACAGAUUCAGAGUUAGACAUGGUGCGUAGUCAAUACUUUGCACUGCUCUGCAAUGGAAAGGAAAAAAAUUACAAACUGUCCAAGGAGCUAUGUUGCAGACUUGUAAGGAACACAAUAACCAGUAUGGUUGCUAUCCUGCGUGCUAGUCCCAUGGGGAAAGAAGUCAGUUACCCGUCAAAAUUGGAAAUAAGAGCCAUGUCACAGAAGAUUAUAGACUAUUACCCAAUGUUACGGGAUGAUGAUCCAAACAUGCCUUAUCUGACUAUCUACACCAAAAUGUACAAGCGACUCCAAAAUAUGAGAUCCCCACGGAAGAGGCAAGGCUCUGUACCACAAAGAGGAGCGGCAAAGACAGCUCUCUUCAGUGCAGACAACCAAGACAUGGAGACGGAUUGGACAGACACAAGCAACUCAAGUGAUAAUACCUUACUUCUUGAGAGCAAUGAUGACCUUACCGAGGACAACUCCAGUGAAGCAUUCCCAGCACAUCGACCCCCCUCUGUGCCAAGGAAGCCAAAGACCAAAACCUUCCUGCUGCCAUCCGCAUCAGCCUCAGGCUCCUCACUCAGGACUGUGAUCGCUUCACCAACCACGCCUGCAAAGGAUGAUGUUGUCGGCCAGGACAGUCUGAAAAUGCAGGCUAAGCACUACAAAACCUUGAGCAACAUGUACAAUAAGCCAAAUGCAAAACCCAAUCAAAGUGAUGUUGCUCAAGUUUUAGACCUUGAGUUUAAGGCCAGACGGGCUUUCAUUGAUGCAGAUGUUACAAGGGAAGAAGACCGACCUGCAAAAAUCUUUGAGGCAUAUCCAUGCUUUAGAGAUGUUCGAAAUGCAAUGGAUGAGCUGCGGCGCAUAGUAGGUGGCACCAACAGCAGAUACAUCGAGGAAGUGAAAGGAAGAUGGGUAGACUUUUGUGCCAAGGUGCAGUUCUAUGGUGUGUGGAAGAAAGCCCUGAAACCCCCCUUUCCAUCGGAUGUCCGUGGAGUGGAGUUCACGCUUGCCCUCUUCAAUGCACUCCCAUCCCUUUUCCCCUCACCAACUUCACCACCAAAGAAGCUUGGAAAUAGCUGUGAGGCACUUCUUCAUGUCCUGAAGUCAGGCGAAGACCCUGCCCUGUACCUGGAAAAGCAUCCUCUCUCCUCCCCAGUUCUGCUUUCUGAUGGCUCAACCACCAUUGUGGCUGUGGGUAAUGUACCUGUGACCACCCUCCCUCAGGAAGAUUUCUCAGACGGGAUGUUGGUGUUAAUGGCAUAUUACUACACUUUGCACUUAAGAUAUCCAAAAUGUGUUGCAACGCUCCUGUCAGUAAUUCAAACAGAGGUAAUUGGUGACACAAUCCACGAUCAAGAUGCCACUAGUGCUUACAGGAAAGCAAUGGCUGAUUGGAAGUAUUUCAUUGAGAAGUAGCUGAGUAUUUUGUCAUGCCAGUUCUUAUUGUUAGCUGUGAGUUCUUAUUGUUAGCUGUGCCUAAUAAUAGUUUUGUGUUGCACAAGCUUAUACAGUCACUGAGUUAUUACCUCAUUUAGGCCUGUAUUUAAAAUGAUAGUUAAGGAAAAAUCCAUAACUGAGGGCUGAGAAGUGUUUUUGUUUUUUGCCCUUUUGCUUUUAAUUUCUUUUAUUUUUAUGGAAAAGUAUUCAAAUGUCUAUAGCAAACUUGACUUGCUGAUGUUAAAUAAAUGUUGUCUUAAGCCAUGUUAUUUCUGCACCAUUAUUCUAAAAAAGGACAGGCUUUAGAUUUUAAGAUGCUCAAAGUAAGAAAACAAAAUGGGUAAUUGCUUAUAUUUAGUAUAUUUCACUUAUUUUGAGGCUGUAAAAGUUUAAAUUUAAGUAAUCUAGUCUUAAAAACAGCAUUUUAUGCUUAUAUUUAGUAUAUUUCACUUAUUCUGAGGUUGUAAAAAGUUUAUUUUAAGUUAUCUAGACUUAAAACCAGCAUUCUAUGCUUUUAUUUAGUAUAAUUCACUUAUUUUAAGGCUGUAAAAAGUUUAAAUUUAAGUAAUCUCAUUUUACAACCAGCAUUUUAUGCUUAUAUUUAGUAUAAUUCACUUAUUUUGAGGCUGUAAAAGUUUAAAUUUAAGUAAUCUAGUCUUAAAAACAGCAUUGUAUGCUUAUAUUUAGUAUAUUUCACUUAUUCUGAGGCUGUAAAAAGUUUAUUUUAAGUUAUCUAGACUUAAAACCAGCAUUCUAUGCUUUUAUUUAGUAUAAUUCACUUAUUUUAAGGCUGUAAAAAGUUUAAAUUUAAGUAAUCUCAUUUUACAACCAGCAUUUUAUGCUUAUAUUUAGUAUAAUUCACUUAUUUUGAGGCUUUAAAAAGUUUAAAUUUAAGUAAUCUGAUCUUAAACCCAGCAUUUUCAUCUUAUGUUAAGCCUUCCAAAUACCUCUUUAGACAAGCUUAUUUCUAGAUUUAAUUAUCUUAAUUCAAGAAAUCUUGUCAAGUGAAAUUAUCUAGCUGCAUGGACAGAUAAUUUCACUUGUUUUGAGUACAUUUUACCUUAAAUUUAGUUUUUUUUAUCUUGUUUUGAGACACCCUUUUUUUGCAGUGUGGAAAAGUCCUUUUCCCCGGACGGUCCCCUGGAGCCUGACGGACGGUCAGUGAAUCCUGUUCGUGACGCCAAAUUGUUGUGGAAUAUUUCAAUAAAAGCUCCGUAAAAGAGAAUGAUUUGUCUGAUAAAACAGAGUCUUGAUGAAUGAUCAAAGUUGCAAAAAGUUUUUAUUACAUUUAUUGCUUGCAAGCAGGAGGUCAAAUACACAGGCACGUAUCACAGUGCUCUGUGGAAAUGGCGUCUCCGAGCACUAAAGACGCUGACUUUUUAUACACAUGUGAAGAACAUUCUCCGUGCCAGCUACGAGAAGCUGCAAAGCAGGUUGAGAUAAGAACCCAGGUGAAGCUGAGGGUAGCACACACACACACACACACACAAGAUCCUCCUCAGUGGCCGGUGCAAAUCAUAAUUAAUUGACAUGAAAGUAAAACUUGGAUCCAGAACUUUCGUACAGAAUAAGAUAUCAACCAAGGCCAUGAACAGGAGUCCUUUGUUUUGAAGCUUCUAUGAGAUCGAGUCAACCGUCCUCCCUUCUCAGGGCACAGCUGCAAACUAACAUUUUGUAUCAUGCUGCUCUUUGCACAUCGGGGUCAAAUACAGGACACUUGAGACACGGCUUUAGCACAAAACAAUGUUAUAACAUAUUUUUACCAUUACACUCUUCAUAAAGCCUUCAAUCUUCCAUAGAAUACCUACUGCUAAUUCUCUCCUCACUCGGCUCUCAGGGG